rnacentral:misc_RNA from 1 species
GAUGAAGAACGCAGCGAAAUGCGAUAAGUAGUGUGAAUUGCAGAAUUCAGUGAAUCAUCGAAUCUUUGAACGCACAUUGCGCCCUUUGGUAUUCCAAAGGGCAUGCCUGUUCGAGCGUCAUUUGUACCCUCAAGCUUUGCUUGGUGUUGGGCGUCUUGUCUCUAGCUUUGCUGGAGACUCGCCUUAAAGUAAUUGGCAGCCGGCCUACUGGUUUCGGAGCGCAGCACAAGUCGCACUCUCUAUCAGCAAAGGUCUAGCAUCCAUUAAGCCUUUUUUUCAACUUUUGACCUCGGAUCAGGUAGGGAUACCCGCUGAACUUAAGCAUAUCAAUAAGCGAGGA